GACGUAGGUGGCGAACGUUAUCCGGAAUCAUUGGGCGUAAAGGGUGCGUAGAUGGCCUGAUAAGUUAGCAGUGGGAAAUCGAGGCUCAACCUCGUGGAAGCUGGUAAUACUGUCAGGCUCGAGUGCAGGAGAGGUUAACGGAACUCCAUGUGGAGCGGUAAAAUGUGUAGAUAUAUGGAAGAACAUCAAUAACGGCGAAGGCAGUUAACUAUUUCUGUUACUGACGUUGAGGCACGAAAGCGUGGG
rnacentral:rRNA from 1 species